UACGAAGGGGGGCUAGCGUUGUUCGGAAUUACUGGGCGUAAAGCGCACGUAGGCGGAUAUUUAAGUCAGGGGUGAAAUCCCAGAGCUCAACUCUGGAACUGCCUUUUGAUACUGGGUAUCUCGAGUAUGGAAGAGGUGAGUGGAAUUCCGAGUGUAGAGGUGAAAUUCGUAGAUAUUCGGAGGAACACCAGUGGCGAAGGCGGCUCACUGGUCCAUUACUGACGCUGAGGUGCGAAAGCGUGGGGAGCAAACAGG
rnacentral:rRNA from 1 species